rnacentral:rRNA from 1 species
AGUCGAGCGGACAGAUGGGAGCUUGCUCCCUGAUGUUAGCGGCGGACGGGUGAGUAACACGUGGGUAACCUGCCUGUAAGACUGGGAUAACUCCGGGAAACCGGGGCUAAUACCGGAUGGUUGUUUGAACCGCAUGGUUCAAACAUAAAAGGUGGCUUCGGCUACCACUUACAGAUGGACCCGCGGCGCAUUAGCUAGUUGGUGAGGUAACGGCUCACCAAGGCAACGAUGCGUAGCCGACCUGAGAGGGUGAUCGGCCACACUGGGACUGAGACACGGCCCAGACUCCUACGGGAGGCAGCAGUAGGGAAUCUUCCGCAAUGGACGAAAGUCUGACGGAGCAACGCCGCGUGAGUGAUGAAGGUUUUCGGAUCGUAAAGCUCUGUUGUUAGGGAAGAACAAGUACCGUUCGAAUAGGGCGGUACCUUGACGGUACCUAACCAGAAAGCCACGGCUAACUACGUGCCAGCAGCCGCGGUAAUACGUAGGUGGCAAGCGUUGUCCGGAAUUAUUGGGCGUAAAGGGCUCGCAGGCGGUUUCUUAAGUCUGAUGUGAAAGCCCCCGGCUCAACCGGGGAGGGUCAUUGGAAACUGGGGAACUUGAGUGCAGAAGAGGAGAGUGGAAUUCCACGUGUAGCGGUGAAAUGCGUAGAGAUGUGGAGGAACACCAGUGGCGAAGGCGACUCUCUGGUCUGUAACUGACGCUGAGGAGCGAAAGCGUGGGGAGCGAACAGGAUUAGAUACCCUGGUAGUCCACGCCGUAAACGAUGAGUGCUAAGUGUUAGGGGGUUUCCGCCCCUUAGUGCUGCAGCUAACGCAUUAAGCACUCCGCCUGGGGAGUACGGUCGCAAGA